rnacentral:rRNA from 1 species
GACGAACGCUGGCGGCGUGCCUAAUACAUGCAAGUCGAGCGAAGUUUUUCUGGUGCUUGCACCGGAAAAACUUAGCGGCGAACGGGUGAGUAACACGUAAAGAACCUGCCUCAUAGACAGGGACAACUAUUGGAAACGAUAGCUAAUACCGGAUAAUAGCAUUAACUGCAUGGUUGAUGUUUAAAAGUUGUUUUUGCUAGCACUAUGAGAUGGCUUUGCGGUGCAUUAGCUAGUUGGUGGGGUAAAGGCCUACCAAGGCGACGAUGCAUAUCCGACCUGAGAGGGUGAUCGGCCACACUGGGACUGAGACACGGCCCAGACUCCUACGGGAGGCAGCAGUAGGGAAUAUUCCGCAAUGGGCGAAAGCCUGACGGAGCAACGCCGCGUGAGUGAAGAAGGAUUUCGGUUCGUAAAGCUCUGUUGUUAGGGAAGAAGGAUUGUGUAGUAACUAUACACAGUAGAGACGGUACCUAACCAGAAAGCCACGGCUAACUACGUG